rnacentral:rRNA from 1 species
GACGAACGCUGGAGGCGUGCUUAACACAUGCAAGUCGAACGAUGAAAUGGAGCUUGCUCCAUGGAUUAGUGGCGAACGGGUGAGUAACACGUGAAUAACCUGCCCUUAAUUUUGGAAUAACCCAGGGAAACCUGGGCUAAUACCGGAUAAGUAAACCUGUGGCAUCACAUGGUUUUGGAAAGUUUUUCGAUUAAGGAUGGAUUCGCGGCCUAUCAGCUUGUUGGUGAGGUAACGGCUCACCAAGGCGACGACGGGUAGCCGGCCUGAGAGGGUGAACGGCCACACUGGGACUGAGACACGGCCCAGACUCCUACGGGAGGUAGCAGUGGGGAAUAUUGCGCAAUGGACGAAAGUCUGACGCAGCGACGCCUCGUGAGGGACGAAGGUCUUCGGAUUGUAAACCUCUUUCAGCAGGGACGAAGCGAAAGUGACGGUACCUGCAGAAGAAGCACCGGCUAACUAUGUGCCAGCCGCCGCAGUAA